UCACCCUCUUCCUUCCCUACCCUAUUUUCCACUGCUCUCUCUCUCUCUCUCUCUCUCUCUCAUGCGCGCGUGGGGCAUUGAAUGUUGGAUCUAGCAUGGCGUCAACACUGAGAAGUGAAGCAUCUCUCUCUAUCUCUAUAGCAGAUCUCGAAAGGUAAUUGAUUAUGGAGUUCAUAAGCUUUGGAAAUACAAUCAUGUUGGGGAGGGGUCUCGCCCCUAUAUUUGACAAUAUGAACAGGGGAUGUACAAUCCACACACAUUCAGGUGAGCACCACAAGAAUGUCGGGCCUCACAAUCAAGUGUUGCUGCAACUUCAUUUAAAACAAGCCGUUUCAUAUUUCUGGUGUGGCCCUAUUUAAAUCAAGGGUAAGCAUCCCCUCUCACAUUGUUCGCUUGUGUUGUGGCCCACUUGACUGUUGGAUCAGGUGGAUUUAGGUAAUGUGUGGUGAUACAUCUGAUAGAUAGGGUUGAUGGCCUUCAUACAUCAAGUGGGUGCCACAUAUCAGUACCACUCUAGCAUAGCUGGGAUGAGACCAUGAUGAUGAUGGCCAAUCUUUCUUUCUUUUUUUUCUUUUUUUUGCUUCCAUUUGCUAUAGUAUUACAUUGCAGUCAAAUUGGAGGUGGCACUGCAGUCUAUUAUCUGGGCAGCUCCUUGGGUGGGUCACUCUUGAAAAAUGGUGCAGACUAGUAUGUCUCUAAUGCAUACCGCCAUUGUUGUAAUGCAGAGAAGUUUAAAUCAGACUUGAUGAAGAUAGCUAUGACCACUUUAAGUUCAAAAAUACUUUCCCAGGACAAGGAGCAUUUUGCUAAACUAGUUGUAGAUGCUGUCAUGAGGCUCAAGUGGUGCAUGGAAGGAUCAUCCGCCACGCGAGGAAAGCAAUACAAUUGAAGCUAUCUCAAAAUUAGAUGAAAAAAGAGUCCGUUUGGGUAAAUCUAUUAAACUAAAAAUUUACGUUAUUUUGCCUAAUCGGUUCCAUGAAGGCUCUCAACUGAUAUUCUAGCCCAUAUAAAGGCUAGAUGGAGAUGGU